CCUACGGGUGGCAGCAGUCGAGAAUCAUUCACAAUGGGGGAAACCCUGAUGGUGCGACGCCGCGUGGGGGAAUGAAGGUCUUCGGAUUGUAAACCCCUGUCAUGUGGGAGCAAAUUAAAAAGAUAGUACCACACGAGGAAGAGACGGCUAACUCUGUGCCAGCAGCCGCGGUAAUACAGAGGUCUCAAGCGUUGUUCGGAAUCACUGGGCGUAAAGCGUGCGUAGGCUGUUUCGUAGGUCGUGUGUGAAAGGCGCGGGCUCAACCCGCGGACGGCACAUGAUACUGCGAGACUAGAGUAAUGGAGGGGGAACCGGAAUUCUCGGUGUAGCAGUGAAAUGCGUAGAUAUCGAGAGGAACACUCGUGGCGAAGGCGGGUUCCUGGACAUUAACUGACGCUGAGGCACGAAGGCCAGGGGAGCGAAAGGGAUUAGAUACCCUUGUAGUC
rnacentral:rRNA from 1 species